rnacentral:rRNA from 1 species
UACAGAGGUCCCAAGCGUUGUUCGGAUUCACUGGGCGUAAAGGGUGCGUAGGUGGCCAGGUAAGUCUGAUGUGAAAUCUCGGAGCUUAACUCCGAAACUGCAUUGGAUACUAUCUGGCUAGAGGGUCGGAGGGGAGACUGGAAUUCUCGGUGUAGCAGUGAAAUGCGUAGAUAUCGAGAGGGACACCAGUGGCGAAGGCGAGUCUCUGGACGACUCCUGACACUGAGGCACGAAAGCUAGGGGAGCAAACAGG